GUGUGUGGGUGUAUUGGGGUGUGUGAGAGGUGUGGGGGUGUAUUGGGGUGUGUGAGAGGUGUGGGGGAGUAUUGGGGUGUGUGAGGUGUGUGGGUGCGUGAGAGGUGUGGGGGUGUAUUGGGGUGUGUGAGAGGUGUGGGGGUGUAUUGGGGUGCGUGAGAGGUGUGGGGGAGUAUUGAGGGUGUAUUGGGGUGUGUGAGGUGUGUGGGUGUGGGGGUGUAUUGGGGUGUGUGAGUGUAUUAGGGUGUGUGAGAGGUGUGGGAUGUUUUGGGGUGUAUUGGGGUGCGUGAGAGGUGUGGGGGAGUAUUGAGGGUGUAUUGGGGUGUGUGAGGUGUGUGGGUGUAUUAGGGUGUGUGAGAGGUGUGGGGGUGUAUUUGGGUGUGCGAGGGGUGUGGGGGUGUGUGAGAGGUAUGGGGGUGUAUGUGAGAGGUGUGGGGGUGUAUUGGGGUGUAUGAGAGGUGUGUGGGUGUAUUGGGGUGUGUGAGAGGUGUGG